rnacentral:rRNA from 1 species
UACGUAGGGUGCAAGCGUUGUCCGGAAUUAUUGGGCGUAAAGAGCUCGUAGGCGGUUUGUCGCGUCUGCCGUGAAAGUCCGGGGCUCAACUCCGGAUCUGCAGUGGGUACGGGCAGACUAGAGUGUGGUAGGGGAGACUGGAAUUCCUGGUGUAGCGGUGAAAUGCGCAGAUAUCAGGAGGAACACCGAUGGCGAAGGCAGGUCUCUGGGCCACUACUGACGCUGAGAAGCGAAAGCAUGGGGAGCGAACAGG